GUCCAACAGAUGAGCCCCAAACGGGACGAAACGUGCGUCCUGGAU
rnacentral:hammerhead_ribozyme from 1 species